rnacentral:rRNA from 1 species
AGAUGGUGAACUAUGCCUGAAUAGGGUGAAGCCAGGGGAAACUCUGGUGGAAGCUCGUAGCGAUUCUGACGUGCAAAUCGAUCGUCAAAUUUGGGUAUAGGGGCGAAAGACUAAUCGAACCAUCUAGUAGCUGGUUCCCUCCGAAGUUUCCCUCAGGAUAGCUGGAGCCCGGUGCAGUUUUAUCAGGUAAAGCGAAUGAUUAGAGGUCUUGGGGUUGAAACAACCUCAACCUAUUCUCAAACUUUAAAUGGGUAAGAAGCUCGGCUUGCUCAACUGAAGUCGGGCAUUGAAUGCCGGGGCUCCUAGUGGGCCAUUUUUGGUAAGCAGAACUGGCGAUGUGGGAUGAACCAAAUGCCGGGUUAAGGUGCCCGAGUCGACGCUCAGCA